AGUCAAGUAAUUAAGUGCAUGUGGUGGAUGCCUUGGCAGUCAGAGGCGAUGAAAGACGUGAUAGCCUGCGAAAAGCUCCGGGGAGGCGGCAAAUAUCCUUUGAUCCGGAGAUGUCUGAAUGGGGGAACCCACCUACUUUAAGGUAGGUAUUGCAACAUGAAUACAUAGUGUUGCAAGGCGAACGAGGGGAAGUGAAACAUCUCAGUACCCUUAGGAAAAGAAAUCAAUUGAGAUUCCCUCAGUAGCGGCGAGCGAACGGGGAUCAGCCCAUUAAGUUAUGUGUGUUUUAGUGGAACGCUCUGGGAAGUGCGAACGUAGAGGGUGAUAUUCCCGUACACGAAAGGGCACACAUAAUGAUGACGAGUAGGGCGAGGCACGUGAAACCUUGUCUGAAUAUGGGGGGACCAUCCUCCAAGGCUAAAUACUCCUGACUGACCGAUAGUGAACCAGUACCGUGAGGGAAAGGCGAAAAGAACCCCUGUGAGGGGAGUGAAAUAGAUCCUGAAACCGCAUGCAUACAAGCAGUGGGAGCACCUUCGUGGUGUGACUGCGUACCUUUUGUAUAAUGGGUCAGCGACUUAUAUUCAGUAGCAAGGUUAACCGUAUAGGGGAGCCGUAGAGAAAUCGAGUCUUAAUAGGGCGUUUAGUUGCUGGGUAUAGACCCGAAACCAGGCGAUCUAUCCAUGAGCAGGUUGAAGGUUGGGUAACACUAACUGGAGGACCGAACCCACUGUCGUUGAAAAGCCAGGGGAUGACUUGUGGAUAGGGGUGAAAGGCUAAUCAAGCCUGGUGAUAGCUGGUUCUCCCCGAAAGCUAUUUAGGUAGCGCCUCGGACGAAUACCAUAGGGGGUAGAGCACUGUUUCGGCUAGGGGGUCAUCCCGACUUACCAAACCGAUGCAAACUCCGAAUACCUAUGAGUACUAUCCGGGAGACAGACUGCGGGUGCUAACGUCCGUAGUCAAGAGGAAAACAAUCCAGACCGCCAGCUAAGGCCCCAAAAUCAUAGUUAAGUGGGAAACGAUGUGGGAAGGCAUAGACAGCUAGGAGGUUGGCUUAGAAGCAGCCACCCUUUAAAGAAAGCGUAAUAGCUCACUAGUCGAGUCGGCCUGCGCGGAA
rnacentral:rRNA from 1 species